GGUGUAGGGUGAAGAAGGGCCCCCCGGCUUUCCUGGACUGAAAGGGGAUAAAGGAGAAAAGGGAUUCCUGGGCUCACCUGGCCUCCCUGGGAAGGAUGGAGCAAAAGGAGAAGCCGGUGAACCAGGACAGCCAGGAGCAUUUGGACUGCCAGGGCCAGCAGGUCCAAAAGGAUCCGAGGGAAAGCAGGGUCCUCCAGGAAUUAAAGGCUAUGUGGGUGCACCGG